GAUGAACGCUAGCGGCAGGCCUAACACAUGCAAGUCGAGGGGUAGCAGGAUUAAGCUUGCUUAAUUGCUGACGACCGGCGCACGGAUGCGUAACGCGUAUGCAACCUAACUUAUACUGGGGUAUAGCCCGGAGAAAUUCGGAUUAAUCCCCAAUAGUACUAAUGAAUUUCAUGGUUUAUUAGUUAAAGCAUUGUCGUAUAAGCUGGGCAUGCGUCCUAUUAGCUUGAUGGCGAGGUAACGGCUUACCAUGGGUACGAUAGGUAGGGGGCCUGAGGGGGUGGUCCCCCAAGCUGGUACUGAGACACGGACCAGACUCCUACAGGAGGCAGCAGUGAGGAAUAUUGGUCAAUGGGCGCAAACUUGAACCAGCCAUGCCGCGUGCAGGAAGAAUGCCCUAGGGGUUGUAAACUGCUUUUAUUUGUGAAUAAACCUCUUUACGUGUAGAGAGCUGAAGGUACCAAAUGAAUAAGCACCGGCUAACUCCGUGCCAGCAGCCGCCGUAA
rnacentral:rRNA from 1 species